GGUGGAGUGGGGACUAACAGCCGCAUGCACACCUGCUUUAAUCCAAAAUUCAAAAGUAAACAAAGUUGGGGUAUUACUUUUUGUUAAGAUAUGAUUACAGCCAUCACUAAAGCAUUUGCUAUCUUGAUAUUUCUUCCAAUGUUACACCUAAGUACGUGAACCAUAAAAAGCCUAUGGGUCCAUUUGUCAUUGGAUGAUAAUAUUAGAAUCACAUUAAAGGUAGUGAAAAUAUGUAGCACUUUAUCUAGAACAAAGUGGUAGAGAAAGAUGAGGAAUUAAAUGGCACGAGCCAUGGUUAACAAACCAAAAGGAAAAUUUAGAUAAUAGUGUGUGCCUGGUGGUCACACCCCUUCUCUUUAGGAGGAGGUUUCAAGUUGAAUUCUUGGGUAAUGCAUGCCAACUAUUUGGUCAUAUAGCCUGAAUAAUUUAUUUUAGAUG
rnacentral:lncRNA from 1 species